rnacentral:rRNA from 1 species
AACGAACGCUGGCGGCGUGGAUAAGACAUGCAAGUCGAACGGGACUAAAUCUGUAGCAAUACAGGUUUAGUUUAGUGGCGAACGGGUGAGUAACACGUGGGCAACCUGCCCUCAGCUCUGGGAUAACUCCAAGAAAUUGGGGCUAAUACCGGAUAUGACCGCUGACCGCAUGGUCUGGUGGUGGAAAGAUUUAUCGGGCUGGGGGAUGGGGCCCGCGGCCUAUCAGCUUGUUGGGGGGUAGUGGCCUACCAAGGCGACGACGGGUAGCCGGCCUGAGAGGGUGACCGGCCACACUGGGACUGAGACACGGCCCAGACUCCUACGGGAGGCAGCAGUGGGGAAUAUUGCGCAAUGGGCGAAAGCCUGACGCAGCGACGCCGCGUGGGGAUGACGGCCU